CGGCGACGCAGCUUGGUAGCGCAACUGGUUUGGGACCAGUGGGUCGGAGGUUCGAAUCCUCUCUCGCCGACCA
rnacentral:tRNA from 1 species